GACGAACGCUGGCGGCGUGCUUAACACAUGCAAGUCGAACGGAAAGGCCCUGCUUUUGUGGGGUGCUCGAGUGGCGAACGGGUGAGUAACACGUGAGUAACCUGCCCUUGACUUUGGGAUAACUUCAGGAAACUGGGGCUAAUACCGGAUAGGAUCUCCUGCUGCAUGGUGGGGGUUGGAAAGUUUCGGCGGUUGGGGAUGGACUCGCGGCUUAUCAGCUUGUUGGUGGGGUAGUGGCUUACCAAGGCUUUGACGGGUAGCCGGCCUGAGAGGGUGACCGGCCACAUUGGGACUGAGAUACGGCCCAGACUCCUACGGGAGGCAGCAGUGGGGAAUAUUGCACAAUGGGCGGAAGCCUGAUGCAGCAACGCCGCGUGCGGGAUGACGGCAUUCGGGUUGUAAACCGCUGUCGCCUGUGACGAAGCGUGAGUGACGGUAAUGGGUAAAGAAGCACCGGCUAACUACGUG
rnacentral:rRNA from 1 species